AUUGAACGCUGGCGGCAGGCCUAACACAUGCAAGUCGAGCGGAUGAAGGGAGCUUGCUCCUGGAUUCAGCGGCGGACGGGUGAGUAAUGCCUAGGAAUCUGCCUGGUAGUGGGGGAUAACGUCCGGAAACGGGCGCUAAUACCGCAUACGUCCUGAGGGAGAAAGUGGGGGAUCUUCGGACCUCACGCUAUCAGAUGAGCCUAGGUCGGAUUAGCUAGUUGGUGGGGUAAAGGCCUACCAAGGCGACGAUCCGUAACUGGUCUGGGAGGAUGAUCAGUCACACUGGAACUGAGACACGGUCCAGACUCCUACGGGAGGCAGCAGUGGGGAAUAUUGGACAAUGGGCGAAAGCCUGAUCCAGCCAUGCCGCGUGUGUGAAGAAGGUCUUCGGAUUGUAAAGCACUUUAAGUUGGGAGGAAGGGCAGUAAGUUAAUACCUUGCUGUUUUGACGUUACCAACAGAAUAGGCACCGGCUAACUUCGUG
rnacentral:rRNA from 1 species